UACGGAGGGUGCAAGCGUUAAUCGGAAUUACUGGGCGUAAAGCGUGCGUAGGCGGUUUGUUAAGUCAGAUGUGAAAGCCCCGGGCUUAACCUGGGAACGGCAUUUGAAACUGAUAGACUAGAGUUGGGUAGAGGGGAGUGGAAUUUCAGGUGUAGCGGUGAAAUGCGUAGAUAUCUGAAGGAACACCAGUGGCGAAGGCGGCUCCCUGGACCCAAACUGACGCUGAGGCACGAAAGCGUGGGUAGCAAACAGG
rnacentral:rRNA from 1 species